rnacentral:rRNA from 1 species
UGCGUAGGUGGCGCCGUAAGUGGGGUGUGAAAUCCCGGGGCUUAACCCCGGGACUGCAUUCCAUACUGCGGUGCUUGAGGACUGGAGAGGAGACUGGAAUUUACGGUGUAGCAGUGAAAUGCGUAGAGAUCGUAAGGAAGACCAGUGGCGAAGGCGGGUCUCUGGACAGUUCCUGACACUGAGGCACGAAGGCCAGGGGAGCAAACG